UUCUGAAGGUGGGGCGUGGUGGGUUCUUAACUCUGCAGCACAAGGAAGCUCAUCCCCAAGAUUCUCACCGUUGCCACGCGAGAUGGUCUGCGUGAACGCACCGUUGCUGCUCUAUGGCCCCAUGGGUCUCGUAACACAAGAGACAAAGGUCCAAUUCUGUGCACGUCAGAGGCUGAUGAAAGGGAAGAUAUUUCACCUGCUGCUAGUAACAACCUGUUGUAUGCUGAGAGCCGUAUUUAUUCUUUAAAUUUUUUCAUUUAUUUGUAUUAAACGCCCACAUAUGUUUAGCACAUACAGAUACACAAAACAGAACUUAAAAAUCACACCGAAUCCCACCGCCCUGAGGUAAACACUAUGAGCACUUGGGUCUCAGGUUUCUCCAGAGUCUGUGAAUCUAAUCACGAAAACAGUCGCACCCCCCACCCCCCUGCGGCCGCCAGGGUCGCAGGCACUGGGCAGUUUUCUCCCCCACCAGGCCUCCCCCCACCCUGGACGGUAGGCACUACUGUUCUCAGCCCUUUACAGAUGAAGGAACGGAGACUCGAGAAGGUAGGAUGUCUCCCAGAGUAGCAGACAGAACGGAUGCCGCGGUCCCUUUGACUCGCUAUACGGACACGGUAUUUUGUUGACUUUCAUUGCUUUGGUUUGUGCUUGUCAUUGCGUUACAAAAAGUAAAAAUGCUUUACACGGGUUGGGUUUUUGUUGUUGUUCUGUUAUUUGCUCUUUUUCACUUUUACUUAAUAAUCGCGGUAGGCACAGUGCUAACAUGGCCCCAAGAUUUCCAGCCUCCUGAUGCGUGUCACCUUCCAGUUAUUCAAUCAAACGCCCAACCAGGUGGUUGGGUGAGGAGAAUUUGUAGGUUAAGUUCCCAAUCAGUCGCCCUUAAAAUGGGGAGAUUAUGCGGGGCGAGUCUCAUCCAGUAACUGUCCCUUUAAAGGUGCUGGGCAUUUCCUGAUGUCAACAAGGCUCUGGUGUGAGAGGGAUGCGAGGUCGGGGAGAUUCUCUGCUGCUGCCCUUGGGGCCCACGGCGGCCAUGAGCACAGAGCAGAGGCAGGCCCUUGGGGCGGAGGCCACCCCCACGCCCCCACCUGACAGCUGGCAGGAAACUGGCACCUUUACCGCCCGUCUCAACACACUAGAUCCUGCCACGGCCACAGGAACCAGAAAGAGCUCCAGAUGAGACCUCACUUCUGCUGUGCAAGACCCUGAAC
rnacentral:lncRNA from 1 species